CAGUAGCCACGGGAAUACGAAGGGUGCAAGCGUUACUCGGAAUUACUGGGCGUAAAGCGUGCGUAGGUGGUGGUUUAAGUCCGUUGUGAAAGCCCUGGGCUCAACCUGGGAAUUGCAGUGGAUACUGGGUCACUAGAGUGUGGUAGAGGAUAGUGGAAUUUCCGGUGUAGCAGUGAAAUGCGUAGAGAUCGGAAGGAACAUCUGUGGCGAAGGCGACAUACUGGAUCAUUACUGACGCUGAGGCUCGAAAGCGUGGGGAGCAAACAGGAUUAGAUACCCCUGUAGUCCCUGUCUCUUAUAC
rnacentral:rRNA from 1 species